rnacentral:lncRNA from 1 species
GUUGCUGGAAUUUGCAGAAGUUCACUAGAGUUCUUCGUGUGGUGGAAAAGUCAAAAUCUAGCUCGUUAGCUGUCCUAUUUCGCUGCAUCUCGACAGGUAAUACUCAUUUUCGGUCCAAACUUUCUUUUUACUCUUAAUGUGUUGCUGUUAGAUUCUUGACUAUGUGAGUAGUUUAUAUAUUGAUGUUUGGGAAUACUGUUGACUUACUGUUGAUCGUAAAUCAGUGUGUUUGGCUUGGUAUGCUUUGGAAUAUUGAUAAGAGUUGAGAUUCUUCGUUUACUUUUGUCUUCUGUUUCGUCUCUUGAUCUCGAUUGUGAUUGGAAUGUGUGUAUAGUGUUGUUGGUGGGCUGUAGCUAUUUUUCUCGUCUUAGUUUUUUUUAUGUCGUCAUAAAUCUGCAAUAAUGUGUGAGUGUUUAAUGUCGCACCCUUCGUUCUUUCACCUCAAGUUGAAGGAAUGAGACAAGACAUCAAUAUUUUAAGUCCUUAGUAUUUAUGUUCGCCGUCUUGAAUCUGUAGUUAAUAGUUGCGACCAUGUUAACUCCCUCCCCUGCUCUGUCUGUCUGCAAUAUAUCUGGUAUGUGACAAAUUAGUCAAGUUUCAUAUUUGGGUUCGAGUUAAAAAUCUUUCCAAGGUAUAUUGGUGUCUUAUUCUUGUAUGUGCUUUCAAGCAUGAGUCAUGUUCCCCUCUACUCUUGCAAGGGUUGCUGUAGAUUGUUGCUCAUUUCAGAAAAUUAUAGUCCUAAAGUUAGAGUUUUAAUUUAUUUUAAUUUAUCCUUAAAUGCAUGCCUCAUUGUGUAAAAAAUUGUGUUAAACUUUAUGGUAUGUCCUAUUGCCUAUGCUUGCCUCCUUUCUUUAUUUGAAGUUGUGAAAAAUGCUAAAAUUCCUUCUCUUAUUCAUGCCUAAAAUUUCAGCAAAAACAGUGGCACGUUGUACUAAUUUUGUCUACUGCUUUGCCUCUAUUCAAAGUGCACAAAAUUUUGUUUUAUUAACACACAUGUUUAUUACCGCCCUUUCUUAGUAUGAAGUAUUGGUCCUAUAUUUUGCCAUUGUCUACGGGUCACCAUGUGCUAGGAAGAAAUUUGCUUUGAAGGUGAUUGUUUACUUUAGUUUAAAUUAAUUUUCUGCCCUAUUCUUUGAUUCUGGAACUUAGUUCCUCUCAUUGUCAUAUUAUGGUUUAUGUUGUACUUUAAACCUAACAACAUCAAUUCCAAUAAGUCUGCUUGCAUACGUUUGUGUUCUCAUCUUCGAAGCAUGUCGGAAUAGAUUUAUUAAUAGUUGUUUAUGCAUUAGUUUUAAAUAAGUUCGAACUUGAGUAAAUGGACUUCCCUAAAUAAUUACAUUGGUUAGUUCAUUUUAAUAUUGUCAUGCGUUAAUCUCAUGGCAUAUGGAUAGCGUGCAAAUUGUCUGUUGAGGCUUUUCUCUAUGGUAGUAGCUUAUUUAUUUUAUUUUAUUUUAUUUUAUUUUAUUUAUUUAUUUAUUCAUUUAUUUUAUUUUAUUUUGUGAAAAAUAUCAUUAUUUUCAUUAGGAAAAUUGUCGACUUAGUUACUGUCUUUAAAAAUAAGUGAUAUGCAUCUAUUAUUUUCUACAUCUUUGGUUAUUUAGCUAUUUUAAUGGUGUGAUUAGACGCAAAGUGUUCUCGCCAAAUUCUCAUCUUAUCUUUUCUUAAAGCAGUGGGUAUAUUUUCACUAUUUUGGCAUACUCUUCCAUUUUUUUUAUCUUGAAUAGUUCGUAUAUUAACCCCUUUGCCUUUCUUCUUUUGUGAUGCAUGUGAAUCUGCCCUGAGUCCCCAAGGACUUCUCUAUUCCCCUAGCAUUUCGAUUUGGGCCUUCAAGGCUCAAAUUUGUUCUUCUUACUCGAGUCAGCAGGUUCAGGAAAUUGAAAAAAUACAGAUUUCGGAAGGUCCCGAAAGGUUGAAAGUGGGCUGUAUACACUCAGUAUGCAGCGGUAUACGCUGACAUUCAGGCCCAAAACGUAAAGAUACAGGGCUGAGGCGACAUAUAGACAUUCGGAAGCAAGAUAUACAUGAAAAGAGCUAAUAUUUAUGCUCAUAUACACUGAUAUACAUCAGCUGUAUAUCAAAAACGGGAUUGGGUUAAAACCCAAAAAUUCCAGCGAAAUUGGCCCAAAAGGAGGCCCAAAUUCAAUUUCUACCUUACUCUUUAAUUAUUUAAUUGUGAUUAUUUAUUGUUUGUCGUUUAACUCUAACUUUAUAAUUUUUAAUUAACUUAAUUAAAUUCCCCAAAAGACGAGUUACUUUCU